rnacentral:rRNA from 1 species
UCCGUAGGCGGUGUGGUAAGUCGGGAGUGAAAUCUCUGGGCUUAACCCAGAGGCUGCUUCCGAAACUGCCGUGCUAGAGUGUGGGAGAGGCGAGUGGAAUUACGGGUGUAGCGGUGAAAUGCGUAGAUAUCCGUAGGAACAUCCGAGGCGAAGGCGGCUCGCUGGAUCACAACUGACGCUGAGGGACGAAAGCUAGGGGAGCAAACA